rnacentral:rRNA from 1 species
GACGAACGCUGGCGGCGUGCUUAACACAUGCAAGUCGAACGAUGAAGAAGAGAAACGCGAACUUCGGUUCAAAUUUCACUUCGGAUUAGUGGCAGACGGGUGAGUAACGCGUGAGCAACCUACCUCUUACAAAGGGAUAGCCUCGGGAAACCGUGAUUAAUACCAUAUGACACAUUCAUAAGGCAUCUUAAGAAUGUUAAAGCUACGGCGGUAAGAGAUGGGCUCGCGUCCCAUUAGCUAGUUGGUGAGGUAACGGCCCACCAAGGCGACGAUGGGUAACCGGCCUGAGAGGGUGAACGGUCACAUUGGAACUGAGACACGGUCCAAACUCCUACGGGAGGCAGCAGUGGGGAAUAUUGCACAAUGGAGGGAACUCUGAUGCAGCGACGCCGCGUGAGCGAUGAAGGAAUUCGUUUCGUAAAGCUCUGUUCUAUGGGAAGAAAAGGGCUGUACCAUAGGAGAAAGCCCCGGCUAAAUACGU